ACAGGACAGACUUGCUGCAGCCCAGGUAACAGCCGAGAUAACCGUUGUUUUCCAGUCAGGUCUUCGAGUGAGUGGUUCGGCCACGGCUACGUACGCUAGAGGGCGGGCACUUUUUGCAAGUCGCCUAUCACUCAAUCGCGCUUUCGGCGUCGCAGGCAUGUUAUAUUAUUCUAGAUUUAAAAAUACAGGGACGAAGCGUUUUGCUAGAACAAUUAAGUUUCACUCACGUUCGGUGACCUGCUGUCCGACUUGUUUCAAGAGAUGUUUGGAAGUAACUUGUGGUCAUGGUAUUGUAGUCAUUAAGCGACUCAUUUGUUAUUUGAUCACACUUGGGGAAAUGAUGAGACAGACAGUCCGAAGCAGGGCUGCUUCCUGUUUAGUAGCCUUUGUGAAAAUCACGUGUGAGCCUCAGCUGGGCGACUGGCCACGGCCAUCUGGUGUUGAGUGAUCGGGCAGCGAUGAGAUGCUCUAUGUCCUUAAUUAUCCACCAACUUCGUGCUUGAUUCGUUCUUGACGCCUUUUAUGCGUCAAGAAUUCAUAAGGACACCCUCUCCCCCCCCUCGUAUCCAUCACCCCCACUCCCCUUCUUAAAAUUCUUUUCGGUUAGUCACUGUCGCAAUCUUCAACAUUCAUCGGGUUGUUGAACGGCGCGGUGGCCUCUAGCAUUCCUAUAUUUCUGUUUCUGCAUGGACUUCAAGGCCAUUCAACUACCUGCCCUCCAACCUGUUUGUUGUGUAUGCUUCUUAGCUUCCCUGGCCCAGCACACCCGUCCUUGACAUAAUUUGCCGUGUGCAAAACAGCGUUCUGUAGGUCCUUUUUUCUUGUCCCGUUUCUUGCCCUGUUUUCAUUCUUAACAGCGUGUACAAACUAGCCUAACAGCAAGCUCUUCUCAAGUAUAUUAACAUAGUCAGAGACAAGGGAAGGAAAACGAAAAAGGGGGGGGGGGGGGGGGAGUUGGAGGGUGCUUAUUAUGCGUUUCUUAGACAAGCAAGUCGCAAAUUUUUCGAAAUGCUUCCGCGCAGCGUGGUCGGCGAUUCGGUCAAGUACCAGAAAUUAGAAGCUCUUCAACGACAUGAAGGCCUAAUGGGGAGCAACAGUGCCCCCAAGUUUUAUGCACGCGCUCGUAUCAUUUCUAUCCGUGUGUGGAAUUUUUAGAAGUGAUCCCCCCUGAGCAGUUAUGGUUAACACGAUCCGGAAUGAGGCGCGCCAUGGGGCCUCAAUGUUCUGUGCAUGGGAGAGAAGAUCGCCCCCAGAGAAGAAGCCCCCCACCUCCCCCCUUCGGACCGCCACUAUAGCCCUCGCCUUGUUUUACAUUCAAGCUUUCUCUUUUAUUAAUGUCGCUCCUUAGGAGCCCACCUCCUGAUACUUGAUGUUCCUUGGGGGAGGGGUUCGACCCCCCAAACCCCCCCUCUGGCCACAUCAAUGGUGGCAGUGACUCUGGUGCUGACAAGUAGGCUGUUGCCAACUCUGCAAACACGGUUUCAGGUUCAAAUGUAAUUGUAAUGUGAAUUUUCAGACCCUUGGAAAAAAUAGUACACAUUUGAAUUGGGUAAAUAUGGUUAUCAUUCAUUGUGAGCUGCCGUCUUGCACUUGAAAUUCUGUGAAAGCAGUCCAAAAAGCAGCAUUUUCGGCGAAAGAUAACAUGUCUUUGAUGAUGCUGGAUCCGUUGUCCCCUAGAGCCACCAAGGCAGACGCUGCAGCCAUUUGGGGCUCGAUUUGGAUCACUAUGUGGUCAGGUGCAUGGGGGCUGACCAGUCAGAUUCGAAUGAUCUGAUAAGGGCCAAUUUCAGGAUAUAAAAAUAGCAAAAGUCCUCACCCAUAGAAUUGUAUGGGUGCCAGCCAGGACCUUCAGUCAGAAUCGAAUUAACCAAAAAAUUGAAUUAGCUGGAGUCGAACUAAUGGAAGUCUGCUGUAUGUCAAAAUGCCAAUGAGGCAUUGAACAAACAGUGCUAGAUUGAGCAAAAGUUGGAGCUUUCCAUGCUGAUGACAUGAGGGAAAAACAUUUUUUUGCUGUGAGGCCCUGCAAGAUUCAUAUUAUCGAGAUUCUACUGCACGUAGCUGUAGAUAUUGGAAGUUGAAAAUUGUAAUAUACUUUGAAGGUCGCAUGUUUUUAUUUGUACUCUUAAGGAUGUAUAAUCGCAACAAAUAGGACAUUUGAAAAGAGUCAAAACGACCACCAUGGGCCAGCGCUUGUCUCUUUUCAUGUAUGUUAUAUUCUUGAGAUUAUGUUCUGCAGUUCAUGAGCUGGAAGUUCACCCUUACGGGAAGUGCUAGUUAUAUAGCAUAUAUUUUUCUUUUGAGCCUGUACAAAACAUAUGUAGCUUGUGCGCCACGUGUUGGACAACCACUUUUAGUACAAUGUCAGUUCGAUAGAGGGCACAUUCUCUUUUAAAGCAUGUCACUAUGCUGCUGGCUUAGCAGGCAUUACAUUGAUCAUCUCCAAGAGAUGACCUUGUCAACAAAGGCUUUACACCUCUGCUAAGCUGCUGACAAAUGUACAGCUUCUUUAGGGCAUUGUAAUAUACAGAAUUGUAUAUAAGGAAUGACUGAGGACAAAAGUGGAAGGUGUGAUCGAAGGAGUUGCACAAAGAUGCCAUUUACAGUCCACAUUUCAUACUAAACAGAUGAAGGUUUUUUUUUUUUUUUUUUUUUUUUUUGCUAUCUGCUACUGACAUCCCAUGUCCUGCAAGUUGAAGGUUUACACUGUUGCCUUUUAAAAGGGUGUGAUAGUUCAGAAAAUGUCAGCGCACAUUGUUUACUUGUAUGCACCCAGGUUUGUCCAAAGCUUAUAUUGUAAGACAUGCAGCUCCACCUGAGAUGCUAGUUUUUUAAGGCAGCUGGAAGCACAGGUGCACAUUUCUUUCCACAAAACAAAGCUAGUGCCAUCAUUUGUUAUUUGUCACCAUGCUGGAGCAAGGACCUUUACUGGGACAAGUGGGGCAUUGAGAAAUUUUCACACCAACAAGGCAGUUAAUUUUAGUCGAGCAACAAUGUUUAGUUCCCAUUGAAGGGAGGAUUUGCUAUAGCCAGUAGGUGUUCAAAGCCCAUGUGAUAACUGUAUAGCAUUUGUUCUUCGAGGAUGCUUAGACGAAAAGUUAUCCAAGUGUGUAAAAACUAAUAACUUGUCUUUGAAGUCUUUUGGUGUACUUCUUUUUUUUUUCCACAUUGGUGUUGGAAUAUUGUCUAGUCUGGAGAGGCAUUAAAUUUACGUACAAACCUGAAGGAAAGGUGUGGCAUUGGGGUGCAGAACUGUUAGUGUUCCUGUAUAUGACCCUAUAGUGAGCGAAGUUGUGUGUCUUCAUUCCAUGUACCAUUUGCCGAGCACCAUAAUAUUAUUUCUAGAACUUAAUAAGCGCUAUGCUGCGCUGAAUUCAGUCCUGCUGACAGCACCAGCUCUAUUGGUUUGCUGUUUGUCAUUUAAGCUGCUCCUGCAAAGUAUUUAGUAAGUUUUUGUAUUCAUCCGUAAAAUGAUUACCACUCCUAUGCUUAUAUCAAACCAGAACUUUUCAAGCACUCCAUCUCUAUUGGGCACAUUCCUAUGCUUCUCUGGGGUGUACACCCCAUUUCUGUUGAAAUUUAGCCCAGAAAUAACCAUUUGGAACAUUUGUGCAAUAUAUUUUUAGGGAUGGCAUUUGUGUGGCUUGUUCAGAACUAGCCAGAAUGCACACUCAACAGAAAGGCCUAAGCAAGCAGAAAAAGAUACUACCUCAUCAGUGGCAUGCAGCUGUCUAGCACAUUUUGUAUAUCCCAUGUUGCUGAAAUGCAGUUUUUAAGGUGGCAAAGUAUAUGUGUAUGAUAAAUGAGCGCUAGCUGUGUGUUAUUAAAAUAGUAGUCACAAAUAAAUUGCAAAUUCUUGUGGCAGUCCUCAAGUGUGGCUCCUACAAAAACGGUCCUUGCUUUCCCACACAACAAUGGAUAGCACAAUGGCGGACUUUCAUUCAACUGUGCUCUUAACGGGGAGCAUAAACAGGAACCUAAAAAAUUCAUUUCUGCUGCACCUGUCCAACAUAAGGACAUCAUCCUUUCCUCUCCAUGGAACGUGCACACUCCAAAGCUUACUACUCCUAUAUACUUUUGGCUAUUUUACCUAGUUUUGUGCAGUUAGUGCAUUGGCUGGCACAAGUGCUUCUGCUGUGUAGGAUUUGCUGCACAUUACCCAAAGAAUGUGAUUUUUUUUCUGUAUAUAAUGCUAGUCCCUUGUUUGCUUUUCUUUUUUACUGUGUAAUAAAAAUGUUUGCACAGUGA